CUCGGGUGGAGGCAGCAGUUGGGUUGGCUGGAGGUUUACGGCUCUGGGUGGUCCUAUGCCGAGGGUUCAUCAAGAGUGACGGAGCCACUUGUAGCGAAAAGCUCUUAAGCAGCAGUGUGCCUCUGCCAUCUACUGACUGGUUUAUUCUCUCUACUGAUUGGUUUUGGGUGGUGACAAGGCUCAGGGAGAUGGCAGCAUUGCAAGAGGGAGGGAGAUCCCAGAUCAACAUAUUUGGGAUGAGCUCUGAGGCUGUCUCAGCAACUCCUGGACGUCUCUGCCUGUGGCACCUCAGCUGUCUCCGAAUGAACAUUCAGGCAGCUCUGCUGGAGAAGCAAAGGCACACAGGUCCAGGACAGUGGAUAACUGACACAGCAGCCACCAAUUGGGAGUGAAUCUACAACUUGUGCCAUUAGAUGUGUGGUGCUUCUGCUGUGAUUAAACAGUUGCACACUUUGGAUUUGACUUGCAACAGCAGUCUCACUUAAGCCUGUCCCUACCCCUUUCCUCUUGCAUGUGAGUUGCACUGGAUUUCUCUGCUGUCCUUGAAUGUGCUGGGAAGCCCGCAGAGUUAUGAUCCUACACAUUUCCCUCCAUCUAGAACACAUCUGCCCACAUAGAACAGCUGCCUCUCUACUGAGAUGUCCUCCCCUCCAGCAAGCCUGCCCCAAUUCUCAGAGGAGGGUAAUCCCCUCAACAUGGCCCCCAGUCCCUCUGUACCUCCACAUGACAUUCAGUGCUUUAGGGGGUCCCCACCCAGGGAGUCUCCUCCAAUGUGUGGGAGAAGCUCAGCCUGCUGUGCUCACCAUGGCUCUGCUGUUAAGCACUGCUUGGCACAUAGAAUGGGCUCAAUGAGUGUUUCUUAAAUAAAGGGGCUGGUGCCAGUGAUGGCAUCUGGGGUCGGGGUGCUCAGCCCUUUUGACAGAUCAUGUCUGAGUGUGUGAGGACCCAUCAGGCACCUCAUGUCCACCCCCUCCCUGUCCCCGAGCCAGGCUUCACUCACACACAGCGAGGUGGCCCUAGUGCUAUGGCCAAUCAGCCUGGAGCCAAAUCCUGGUUCUACUCCUUGCUGUGGUAUCUUGGACAAGGUUCUGAAUGCUCUUUGCUUCAGUUUCCUUAAUGAAAUGAAGUUUACGAGGGUCUCUGUCUCCUGGGCUUGCUCUGAGGAAUAAAUGAGUUAAUA
ensembl:lncRNA